rnacentral:rRNA from 1 species
GAUGAACGCUGGCGGCGUGCCUAAUACAUGCAAGUCGAGCGAACAGACGAGGAGCUUGCUCCUCUGACGUUAGCGGCGGACGGGUGAGUAACACGUGGAUAACCUACCUAUAAGAAUGGGAUAAAUUCGGGAAACCGGAGCUAAUACCGGAUAAUAUAUUGAACCGCAUGGUUCAAUAGUGAAAGCGGGUUUUGCUGUCCCUUAUAGAUGGUUCCACGCUGCAUUAGCUAGUUGGUAAGGUAACGGCUUACCAAGGCAACGAUGCGUAGCCGACCUGAGAGGGUGAUCGGCCACACUGGAACUGAGACACGGUCCAGACUCCUACGGGAGGCAGCAGUAGGGAAUCUUCCGCAAUGGGCGAAAGCCUGACGGAGCAACGCCGCGUGAGUGAUGAAGGUCUUCGGAUCGUAAAACUCUGUUAGUAGGGAAGAACAAAUGUGUAAGUAACUAUGCACGUCUUGACGGUACCUAAUCAGAAAGCCACGGCUAACUACGUG